rnacentral:rRNA from 1 species
AUGAAGUUCGCUUCCCCGCUCACUCACGACGAGGAGCGGGUCGACGCAUGGUAUGGAGGCGAACCGCUGCGGUACCGUACGAUGGAUAAUGUGCUCGGCGACCAGCCGGUGCCAGGACUGGUGCCACGUGACCUAGAGGCGCAGCUACAGCUCGUGUGUGAAGACGGCGAACCACGGUCCUUUGCAGAGGCCGAGAGAGACGCGGCAUGGCGCGCCGCGAUGAAGUUGGAGAUGGAUGCGGUCGAGCAAAACCGCACCUGGGAGCUUGCUGAUCUCCCUCGAGGUCACCGCGCAAUCACCCUUAAGUGGGUGUUCAAGCUGAAGAGGGAUGGAGCCGGCGCCAUCAUCAAGCACAAGGCUCGUUUGGUGGCCCGAGGCUUCUUGCAGCAGGAAGGAGUCGACUUCGACGACGCUUUCGCUCCCGUGGCACGGAUGGAGUCCGUGCGACUUCUCCUUGCGCUGGCUGCCCAGGAGGGCUGGCGUGUCCACCACAUGGACGUUAAGUCGGCAUUCCUCAACGGCAACUUGAAGGAGGAAGUCUACGUGCAUCAGCCACCGGGGUUUACGAUUCCCGGCCAGGAGGGCAAGGUGCUCCGCCUGCGCAAGGCUCUCUAUGGCCUGCGGCAGGCACCCAGGGCGUGGAACGCCAAGCUGGACUCCACGCUGAAGAAGAUGGGUUUCGAGCAGAGCCCGCAUGAGGCUGCCGUCUACCGACGGGGGAGUGGAGGAAAUGCCCUGCUGGUGGGCGUCUACGUUGACGACCUGGUGAUCACCGGCACCAAAGAUGCAGAGGUGGCGGCGUUCAAGGAAGACAUGAAGGCCACGUUCCAGAUGAGUGACCUGGGGCUCCUCUCCUUCUAUCUAGGGAUUGAGGUGCACCAGGACCACUCCGGGAUCACGCUUCGACAGUCCGCCUACGCCAAGCGCAUCGUUGAGCUAGCUGGGCUCACCGACUGCCAUCCAGCUCUCACUCCGAUGGAGGAGAGGCUGAAACUAAGUCGCGACAGCACGACGGAGGAAGUGGAUGCUACGCAGUACCGACGCCUUGUGGGGAGCCUUCGCUACCUCACUCACACACGGCCGGACUUGGCAUUCUCCGUCGGCUAUGUCAGUCGGUUCAUGGAGCGACCAACGUCGGAACACCAGCAGGCAGUGAAGAGGAUCGUCCGCUACAUAGCAGGGACCCUCGACCACGGCCUCCAUUACCCUAGGUGCCCUGGGGCGGCACACUUCGUCGGGUACAGCGACAGCGACCACGCCGGCGACAUCGACACCAGCAAGAGCACGAGCGGGAUCCUCCUCUUCCUCGGCAAGUGUCUCGUGAGCUGGCAAUCAGUCAAGCAGCAGGUGGUGGCCCUGUCCAGCUGUGAGGCUGAGUACAUAGCGGCCUCCACCGCCUGUACUCAGGCGCUCUGGCUUGCUCGACUGCUUGGUGAUCUUCUCGUUCAAGACACCAGAACGGUGCAGCUCCUGGUGGACAGCAAGUCCGCCCUGGCCCUGGCAAAGAACCCCGUGUUCCACGAACGGAGCAAGCACAUCCGACUGAGGUAUCACUUCAUCCGCAGCUGUGUGGAAGAAGGGAGCAUCGAGGCGAGCUACAUCAACACCAAGGAUCAGCUCGCAGACCUGCUCACCAAGCCCCUUGGGAGGGUCAAGUUCCUCGAACUUUGCUCCAGGAUUGGGAUGAUUCAACUCUCCCACAAGACGACGUACAAGACUUAG